GAUGAACGCUGGCGGCGUGCCUAAUACAUGCAAGUCGAGCGAACGGACGAGACGCUUGCUUCACUGAAGUUAGCGGCGGACGGGUGAGUAACACGUGGAUAACCUACCUCUAAGACUGGGAUCACUUCGGGAAACCGGAGCUCAUACCGGAUGAUAUUUUUAACCGCAUGGUUCAAAAGUGAAAGACGGUUUUGCUGUCACUUAUAGAUGGAUCCGCGCUGCAUUAGCGAGUUGGUAAGGUAACGGCUUACCAAGGCAACGAUGCAUAGCCGACCUGAGAGGGUGUAGGCGGACUGUGAGGCUGAGACACGGUACAGAGUCCGACGGGAGGCAGAGGUAGGGAAGCUUCGGAGAUGGGCGGAAGCCUGACGGAGCAACGCCGCGUGAGUGAUGAAGGGCUGCGGAUCGUAUAACUCUGUUAGGAGGGAAGAACAUUUGUGUAAGGAACUAUGCUCUUCGUGACGGUACCUAAUCAGAAAGCCACGGCUAACUACGUG
rnacentral:rRNA from 1 species